UGGGACGGGACACUUAGUCAGGACGUAUGUAUGCCAGUGUCCUACGGUCGAAAUCCCCAAACGCUCCUCACUGACAAGGAAGAUUUCGGAGAAUUUCUUGAUACCGUAAGCACUCUUCAACAGCUGAAACACCAGAUGGGCUGAGUAGUGCGUUGCUUUCUCAGCCCUGACAGCACGCUAACUCUUCCCAGCGGAGGAGGGAAUUCUCAUGACGCACCGCUCAGCCCGACCGUGGAUAUCAACCAGGCUGCACUCUCAAGAGUUUGGACAAACACGGUCCAUUGUUUUUUAGUUAUACUUUAGCUUUCCAAAAAUGUAGGAGUGCACAUAUGUCUCCAUUUGUGUUUGAAGGUAUUACUGCAAAAACAGC
ensembl:lncRNA